ensembl:lncRNA
AGUGAUGAUUAGAUCAGAGACUGACAUGGGCGGAGGCAAAUGCUGGAAACCACAAUCUAAACUUUGUUCCCAUAAAAACUCUUGGCUAAUUUGCAAGUGAUGCACGAACUCCAGUUGAGCUGUACUCGGCCAUGGAAAAAAAGAGAGGAGAAGGAGUUCACCCUCCGCUUGCAGAGGGAUGGUGUGUCCCCUGAGGCUUCAGUAGAGGAGCGUGAGCUGCACCUGUGGCGUUUGCUCCAGCGCAGUGAGGGCAGCCUGUGUGCAGCCACUGAAGACCUGCAGACUUUACGCACCCAGCAGGCCAGCGAGAUGAUAGAGGUGGAAAAUUACAUGGAGCAUAUUCGAAACAUGCUGGAGGAGCGGGAAUCUCUUACAGCAUAGUAUGAACAUGACAGCGAACAGCUCCGUGCUGAGCUCACUCUAAUGAAACACCAACAGGACUCUCAGUGUAAGGAGGUGGUGGAGAUGCUGGAGCAGGAGGGUCUAGCAGAGAUCAGUCAGAGCAGUGCCAGUGAGCAGGUGGCCUAUCUGCUGGUGGAGAGAGUCACUCUGCUGGAGAGACUGGAGGCUGCGGAAAGAAAACUGGACACCCAGACCCUUACCGGCAACCUCAGAGAGGUGCAUCUACAGGAAGAGCUGGAUCAUAUGCGUCACACAACAGAAGAGGAACUCAGGCAGCAAAAGGAAAACAUGAAUGAGGAAUCAUCAGUUCAGAGUCCUUGGAGGAAGUUCUUUGGUGUGUGCAAGGCUACACUAAGAGCACAGAACCUUCCUGUAUGUUUUGAUUGGACUCAUAAAAAAGGCCUUGAGAGGAUGAUCCACUUAAAGCAGAUUAGGACAGCUCUGUGGUCACCUCAUGAAAUAAUGCAUGCCUUGGUUGAACACAAUGCAGAGAAUAACAAUAUUCUUAGCAUCAUCACAUUACCUCCUCUUAUUUUCACUCUGGACCCUAACAGCACUAUAGACCCUUUCAUUCAGGGUGGUUACUAA